UGUCAACAUUUAGUCAAGUUGGGGUACACGUACACUUACUCCUUUUUGUGUGAAAUACAUCUUUUAAAUUCUUAGGAUAUCAUUUCAUCUAUACAAACGAAUUGAGUCGUUUUUCUUUUUUCAUCUCAAAUGGGAUUGUAUGCAACAAUCAAUCACGCUCAUGUCCAUAUAUUUACCCCCCACCCAAACCACUUUUCCUGCCCCCCCCCCCCCCCCC